CAGAGGAGGGAGCGGCAAAGGUGGAGUGCAGGAAGACGGUGGUGAUACGGUUGCAAGGACAUUGCCAGAAGGGAAGCGCGCCAGGAUAGUUUCCGCAGUUUCGAAGCCGGAAAGUGGGUGCAAUAAGAGGGUGCAAUCUCGGAUGUGUUUCGACCGGCUCCAGCGCCCAGAUUGCAAACGAGACCUCGCUAAAAGCUCUCGUCUCGGACUCCACCUCCAAGGAGAGAGACAAAAGAGCGGGCGGACUCGGCCCCGAGGAGCGCCUUCUUCAGGGCAAAUGAGGUUACAGCGAAGGGCCUCGAGCGGACCCCAUCACAGUCGCCAAAGAUGCUGCGAGAAGGAAGAGAGAGUUCCUCGAGCAUCUUGGAGAAAUUGAGAAAUGAAAAGAUCUGGGAAAAGAUGGUACGGCUGGAACUGCGUAUGAUAUGAAAGUAGCAUUAAUGCAAUAAGCCACAGGUAAUGGAAUGGGAAGCUGAGACCGAUGCGAGAGAACACCCUCUCUUCUCUCUGACUCUGCGAAGGAUCACGAGGAACACGAUCAAGGAACCGAAAGCGUUCUAAUUCUUUUGACAAGAUUUCAGGUCCUAUCAUCAAGGGGA